UGUGGUAGCAAAAUAACUAGGUGAUUAAUAGGAAUUUUUUAUGAAUGAUUUAUCAAGAGAAAAACCGUCUUUAUAUUUAAAUUUGAAUUUUAUUUUUUUGUGGAGAGGGUUUAAUAUUCUAAAGGGUCGAUAAGAUCCUGAAUUUACUUUCAAUCAGUUGUUGAUAUUUUAUUGAAUUUUGUUGUCCUACGAUUUAAAAUUAAUAAUUUGUUAUGGUGGGGAGACAAAAUUAAAUAAAUUAUAUAUACAAUGUAAGGAGAAGAAUUAAAGAGUCUUGUCGUUCCUUUGUUAUAUAUACGCCUUUACACUUAAAAGAUUAAUUCAAACUUGGAUAUAACAGCAGUUUUUCUCUUGAUAGUUCAUA
rnacentral:rRNA from 1 species